rnacentral:misc_RNA from 1 species
AAGUCGUAACAAGGUUUCCGUAGGUGAACCUGCGGAAGGAUCAUUACCAAAUCCAAAUACCCAAACCCCAUGUGAAUUAUUGUAUAGUCUGUCUUUGGGAGAAAAAGAAGGAGAAAUCUGGAUUUUUCUCCCAAUAGAGUCCGGCAUAACAUUUUGUUGUGUCCAGAUUCGAAAACCCUUUAAACCACUUGAUUUUUCUGUUGGAAUUACUUUUAUUAAUUUUAAAUAAAAGACAACUUUUAACGGUGGAUCUCUUGGCUCGU